rnacentral:tRNA from 1 species
GUGUUGCAAAUUGUUAAUGCUCUUGGUUGCUAACCAAAAGGUUGGAGGUUCAAGUCCACCCAC